rnacentral:rRNA from 1 species
CCUACGGGUGGCAGCAGUGGGGAAUUUUGCGCAAUGGGCGAAAGCCUGACGCAGCGACGCCGCGUGUGCGAUGAAGGCCUUUGGGUCGUAAAGCACUGUCGACCGGGACGAAAACUCACGGGCUAACACCUCGUGAGCUUGACGGUACUGGUAAAGGAAGCACCGGCUAACUCUGUGCCAGCAGCCGCGGUAAUACAGAGGGUGCAAACGUUGCUCGGAAUUAUUGGGCGUAAAGCGCGUGUAGGCGGCUCGUUAAGUCGGUUGUGAAAACCCAUGGCUCAACCAUGGAAGUGCGUCCGAAACUGGCGAGCUUGAGUCUCGGAGAGGGUAGCGGAAUUCCCGGUGUAGAGGUGAAAUUCGUAGAUAUCGGGAGGAACAUCGGCGGCGAAGGCGGCUACCUGGAAGAAGACUGACGCUGAGACGCGAAGGCGUGGGGAGCAAACAGGAUUAGAUACCCGAGUAGUC